CCUACGGGAGGCAGCAGUGAGGAAUAUUGGUCAAUGGACGCAAGUCUGAACCAGCAAUGCCGCGUGCAUGAAGAAGGCUCUAUGAGUUUAAAACUGCUUUUGUACGAGGGUAAACGCAGAUACGCAUCUCUGUCUGAAAGUAUCGUACGAAUAAAGAUCGGCUAACUCCGUGCCAGCAGCCGCGGUAAUACGGAGGAUACAAGCGUUAUCCGGAUGUAUUGGGUUUAAAGGGUGCGUAGGCGGUCGGUUAAGUUAGAGGUGAUAUCCCGAGGCUAAACUUCGGAAUUGCCUCUGAUACUGUGCGGCUAGAGUGCAGUUGCGGUAGGCGGAAUGUAUGGUGUAGCGGUGAAAUGCGUAGAUAUCAGACAGAACACCGAUGGCGAAGGCAGCUCACCGAGCUACUUCUGACGCUGAGGCACGAAAGCGUGGGUAGCAAACAGGAUUAGAUACCCUGGUAGUC
rnacentral:rRNA from 1 species